GUUCCUCCUAGAUUCAAUCCAGACCGCACAGUCCCGAUCCAACGGUGCCCAUCGGCUGCUUUCCCUAAUCGCGUUUAUUCUUCGCGAACCAAUCGAUUCGCCGCCGGCUAGCCGCCGCUGCGACCACCGCGCCGCUUCGCCGGCUGCUCGCCGAGCGGCGGCCGGCGGGUGGAAUGCGCGCCAGUUGUCCGAUGGAACGCCUCCGGGUUGAGUGCUCGCCUGGCUCCUUCGGAUAGAAGGAGGCCAUGGCCGCCGCGGGCAACGGCGGCGGAACAGUACGGCGACGGGGGGUUUCGCGAAGUCGCCGUUCAUUCCUCCUCAACUGGUCACGCGGCAGUGCUGGGUGCGGAGGCUGAGACCAAUGGCGAGGUGCUAGUUGCCGGGAGAUGGACAUCAUGAACCUGUGAAUGGUUAUGGACAAUGACGCAGCAGGUCCCAAGAAAACAACAUUAUGCCAAUUAACAUGGAAAAAGGCAAGGUGGUUACUCUUUUUCAGACAUAAUAGGUAUUGCUAUCAUAAUUAUCCUUUUCUUACUAACUAUUAGAGUGUGAAACACGUUCAUGAACUGCUUUCCUGUUAGGUGGUAUGUCUACCUUCCUUAGUACAAUUGUUUGGUAUUGUAGUAUGUGUGCCCGUCCCGUGUUCAAAGUCCUUUUAUGAAUGUGGAAAUUUCGUCA